rnacentral:rRNA from 1 species
GACGAACGCUGGCGGCGUGCCUAAUACAUGCAAGUCGAACGCAGUGGGGCCGGGUGCGUAACACGUGGGUAACCUCCCAUCAGAGGGGAUAACACUUGACAACAGGUUCUAAACCGAUACUGAUGGAUGGGCCCGCGGUGCAUUCGCUAGGUGGUGAGGUAACGGCUCACCAAGGCCACGAUGCAUACACGACCGGAGAGGGGGAUCGGCGACAUGGGGACGUGGACACGGCCCAGGCUCCUGUGAGAGGCAGCAGUAGGGAAUCGUCGGCAAUGGACGAAAGUCUGACCGAGCGACUCCGCGUGAGUGAAGAAGUUUUUCGGUGGGUAAAACUCGGUUGUUAGAUAAGCGGUAUCUAACCAGAAAGCCACGGCUAACUACGGGCCAGCAGCCGCGGUAAUAC